GUGGCACUUCUUCACAUCACUCCUCAUGCUUCCUAUAUAGCAAAGGUCAAAUGAUCCACACCUGGCAGAUUUCACUUAACAAGGGUGGAGCCAAGAGACCUUGUGGAAUAGGCUCAUCUACCUGGCUUCAAAGUUUUAAGGCUGAUUGCUCCUUAUCACUAGUAGAAAUAACC